rnacentral:rRNA from 1 species
GACGAACGCUGGGCGGGCGUGCUUAAAAACAUGCAAGUCGAACGGACUUCUCAUGAAGCUUGCGAUUGAGAAGUUAGUGGCGGACGGGUGAGUAACGCGUGGGCAACCUGCCCCUGAGCCCGGGAUAACAGUUCGAAAGGACUGCUAAGACCGGAUAUACUUGCGGUGAAGCAUUUCACUGCAAGGAAAGGGAACGCUCAGGGAUGGGCCCGCGUCCCAUUAACUAGUUGGUGAGGUAACGGCCCACCAAGGCGACGAUGGGUAGCCGGCCUGAGAGGGUGAACGGCCACACUGGGACUGAGACACGGCCCAGACCCCUACGGGAGGCAGCAGUUGGGAAUCUUCGGCAAUGGGCGCAAGCCUGACCGAGCAACGCCGCGUGAGUGAUGAAGGUUUUCGGAUUGUAAAGCUCUGUCUUCCGGGACGAUAAUGACGGUACCGGAGGAGGAAGCCACGGCUAACUACGUG